rnacentral:rRNA from 1 species
UACGGAGGGGGCUAGCGUUGUUCGGAAUUACUGGGCGUAAAGCGCACGUAGGCGGACUGUUAAGUCGGGGGUGAAAUCCUGGGGCUCAACCUCAGAAUUGCCUCCGAUACUGGCAGUCUCGAGUGCGGGAGAGGUGAGUGGAAGUUCCCAGUGAUAGAGGUGAAAUUCGGUAGAUAUUGGGAAGAACACCAGUGGCGAAGGCGGCUCACUGGCC